rnacentral:lncRNA from 12 species
AUGAUGGGUGAAGUGAUUCAGUACAAUAAACUGCAGGCCGACCCAAAGCAGGGGAAAUCCCUGGAUAUUGGUAAAAACUAUAAACUGUACAGCAAUAUUCAUUUAAUGUGUUUGAAUGGAUGCAGAAAUGUGUUCUUCUCUCAUCAAACAGAUUAUACGUGUGUGUUUGUGUGUGUCAGUGCUGAAGGUAAAGCAUUGUCUGGUGGAGAACAUGAGUUCAGGAACUGCAGAUGCUCAGCCAUUCUGUAAAAUGGUCAGAUAAUUUCCAUUGUUUAAUUUCCUUUUAAAUCUAGACACAACCAGGUUGUAUAUGCAAGGUGUCGUAUAGGCCAUACUCACUCUUGGGCAUUUAUUGAAGGGUGAAGAAGCACAAAAAUGUCAAUACUGUAGCACCAACUUGUCUAUGAAAAUAUGUUUUUGGCCUGUCCAAUUUUUAAUGUUAUGAGACAACUGUUUUUAUCAGGUCAAACUUUUAAGGACUUUAUGAACCCAAAAGAUCUAGAAUUUUUGUUGUUGUUUUAAAUCACAAAUACAUUUUAAGAAGAAUAUAUAAUUGUACCUAAUCUGUUUAAGUUUAAUUUUAUAAAAUGUUUUCAUUACAUUGUAUUUAUUGUUGAAUAUUUAAUAUACCAUGUAAUAGCUGGUGAAGCUGAAGUAGCAAUACAUUUAAACAAAACCAACCAUUAUUUAAUCAGUAUUUCAUUAAAAUACUAUUUUUGCACAAAUUAAAAACAGGACAACAAAGGACUAAAGUACCAGACUCAUAAAUACAGUAUAAAUAAUAAUCAUUAUUUCACAUUAGUCUGUUUGAAAACUCCAUCAUUGAGAGCAUUGACAGGUUCAUGUGUGUAUAUAAUGUGUGACAUAAAAAAUCAAGCAUUUGUGUGUUUUUAUGUUUCAGAUGGUCUGGUGAAGAGGCUGGAGAAAACAGCUCAACUUUAUAAAGGUGUUUCAUUCAUACUUUUGCUUCAUUUAACCAAUGACCGAGAGAGUUUAACAUGGAAAUAAUCUGUAUAUGUUGUGUGUGCUUUUUAUGAGCUCUCACAGAGGUACAGUAGAUGAUUCCUUGAUCCACGUUCAUCUUGUUCAAAAUAUGUAUGUCUACUGUGGAGGAUGAAACACAACAAUUCACCACCUAGUUGCCAACAAUAGGGCAGUAGGAACUGAUUCAACCCCAGAAAGAAGAUUCAGUAAUCUCUCAAAUGAGACAAUGGAAGGAGGAUGG